GCUAGGCCCCACAGUUCAUGUGACUUGGAGAGUCUUCCUUCCAGCCUUCUGAAUCUCUGCUUGACUUCCAAGGCCACACUGUUGAUCACUCUGCUGUCACAUGGGGUUUGUAUAUAGGAGAAGGAAAUAAAGCUUUGAAGAUCAGUUGAGAUCAAGUAUAAAACACUGGAGGUGUAUUUUACUUAGUGUGUGCACUAAGAAGCGACUCUUCCUAAAACAUACAAAAGCAAUGAGACUCUAACCUAGAAAGACAACAGCAAUAUCACAGAGCUAAAACCAAGACUUGUGAACAGAAGAUCAUGCAAAUCCAUUAAAAACUUAAUACAAAAGA